rnacentral:rRNA from 1 species
CCUACGGGAGGCAGCAGUGAGGAAUAUUGGUCAAUGGACGAGAGUCGGAACCAGCCAAGUAGCGUGAAGGCUGACUGCCCUAUGGGUUGUAAACUUCUUUUAUAUGGGAAUAAAAUGUUCCACGUGUGGGAUUUUGUAUGUACCAUAUGAAUAAGGAUCGGCUAACUACGUGCCAGCAGCCGCGGUAAUAACGAGGAUCCAAGCUUUAUCCGGAAUUAUUGGGUGUAAAGGGAGCGUAGAUGGAUUGUUAAGUCAGUUGUGAAAGUUUGCGGCUCAACCGUAAAAUUGCAGUUGAAACUUGCAGUCUUGAGUACAGGAGAGGUGGGCGGAAUUCGUGGUGUAGCGGUGAAAUGCUUAGAUAUCACGAAGAACUCCGAUUGCGAAGGCAGUUCACUGGACUGCAACUGACACUGAGGCUCGAAAGUGUGGGUAUCAAACAGGAUUAGAUACCCUAGUAGUC